rnacentral:rRNA from 1 species
GACGAACCGUGCGAACGUUGUUCGGAAUCACUGGGCUUAAAGGGCGCGUAGGCGGACUGCCAAGUCCGGGGUGAAAUCUUUCGGCUCAACCGGAAAAUAGCCUCGGAGACUGGCGGUCUGGAGGGAGGUAGGGGCAGCUGGAACUUCCGGUGGAGCGGUGAAAUGCGUUGAUAUCGGAAGGAACGCCGGUGGCGAAAGCGAGCUGCUGGACCUUUUCUGACGCUGAGGCGCGAAAGCCAGGGGAGCAAACGGG